rnacentral:rRNA from 1 species
AUUGAACGCUGGCGGCAUGCCUUACACAUGCAAGUCGAACGGUAACGCGGGGCAACCUGGCGACGAGUGGCGAACGGGUGAGUAAUGCAUCGGAACGUGCCCAGUAGUGGGGGAUAGCUCGGCGAAAGCCGGAUUAAUACCGCAUACGACCUACGGGUGAAAGCGGGGGACCGCAAGGCUUCGCGCUAUUGGAGCGGCCG